rnacentral:lncRNA from 1 species
UCCCAAACCUCUGCGAUUUAUUUUUGUCCCUGGGGUGGGGAAGAAGAAUUUUUGGGCUCUUUCAUGGUGGCAGUGAUCGAGUACCCGGAGUCCUGGCGACCUUCCUGGUGCCCCCGAUUUCCCUCCGAUGUGACAGUGUUGCCUCGGUGGGAGCCGAGCCCCCAGCCUGCGAGGUUUCCUUCCCUCAACUGGACAGAAGAGCGGAGAUUUCUUACAGGGGGGGACACAAAGAGCAGGGCUAGGCUGCCAGCACGUCACACAGCAAAGCCAGCUGCUGCCUUUAAAGGAAGAGAGCCCACGGCUCCUCUGCCUGGCUCUGCAGCCGUGUCCGACUGAUCCCAUGUUAUCACACUUUUUUUUUUUUAAAAAAAAAGGCAAAAAAAAAAAGCUUUGUUCCUCCUCUCCUGUCUCUCUCUCCACCAGCUAUCAGCUGGAGUUCAACAAACUGGGAGCGGGACCUGAAAUGGGUUCGGUCUGCUUGGAACAAAAAGCCGAGUGUCUUUUUUUUUUCCUCUUUUCGCAGGAGAAAUGAGAGCGGCUGCGCUGAGAUAAAGCUGACAACCCUUUUGUUCUUCCCCUAGGUAUUCUGAGCUUGCUGCAGAACAAGCCCCGGCUUGAGGCGUCCCAGGCGAACGAGGCAGGCACCAGGUGCAGGAAGCUCCGAAAACAGGGUGUCCCUCACAGGAGGAGACAAAACGGGGUUGAUUUUGGCAGAACGCAUUUGGGAUGGUCCCAUACAGAGGAAAAUCCAGGCACAGGUCGGCUCCGGAGUAGGCAAAGACGAUGCAGGGGAGACAGUAGGAAAUGCUUUGGACCAGGACAGGAUGGUAGCCAUCUCUCCAGGCUUUUAGCCCACGAUGACUCCUGGGAUUUGGACACAGAAGCCGUGGCAGUCCUGGGAAUGGCUGAGCUGGGCACAGCGCACGCAGCGAGGCAGCAAGGAGGAGCAGCAGCAGGAGCGCCGCCAGCCCUGCCCCGUCACUGCGGCCAUGGAGCAGGGGCUCGCAGCCUCCCCAGGCCAAAACCAACAGCGAAAGCGCCAACCUCUGCAUCACCUCUGCUUGCUGGCUCCCUCCACGUUGCCUGCAAGAGCGCUUCUGAGCCCCUGUGAACUCCCCUGACCACCCUGAGGAGCUCAGGUCCCUUAAAAUCUCCCUGCCAUGAGCAAUUCAGACCUCUAUGGCCAUGCAAAAAUAUUCUGCCCCUUGCAAGGACCAGUUGCUGGAGGAAUCUUUUCCGUCAUCUGCGUGGAGUUAUUUGUCUGGAUUUCACUGAUCGGAAAGUAAAAGAAACCAGAGAGGACACAACCCCUUAAGCUGGAUGAAAACACAGCAGGAUGCUCUGUUCUGCAUGUGAGGACAUACGCAGAAAAUACCUCCUCGGUCAUUUCUCCUGUGUGAUGAGCUCUAAGGAUCUCAGUUCAGCCCUGAAACAUGUUUACUUCCCUUGGAGAACCACCACCCGCCUUGGCCAGGGCUUGGCAGGAGCAGGGGAGCUGCGCGAGGGCCUGGGGCUGCUCCAUGCCUGUGGGCUUGGGCAAGGUGGGAUGUGGUCAGCCCCGAAAUAGCAAGGUCGUGCGGGGCCCUGAGCAAGCGCUGUGACUUUCCAUCCUCUGCCUGGCCCAGGGCUCGGUCCCUCUCUUGGGGCCUUCUACUAAAAUUAGCAGCAUUUCCCUGCGCCGCCUGCCCCGUGUCCGUCUGUCUCAGCAGCCGUUUGAGGAGAUGGGGGGCCAGAAGCACAGCUGAAAAAAACAUGAAAGCAUUGGAUUUGGAGAACUCCCUUUUAAUCUUCUCAUUUAUGAAAAAAAAAAAAAAAAAAAAAAAAAAAAAAAAAAAAAAAAAAGAAAAAAAAAAAGAAAAAGAGCAUUGCUGAUGUCAACCCCCCAGCUCCUUAAUUUCAGACUUGCACAAAGGUGCCCGCUGCGUCCUCCCUCCUGUGCCAACCUGCCCGCGCCACCCCGGGGGAGAGCUCACCUGGCAUUUAUUAAUGGGGUUAACGGGGAAGAUUUUUAAUGGCAUGGAGAUCCCAAAAAAUCUGUUGCUCACUUGCGAGGAAAAAGCGGAAACUGGGAAAUCAGGGAAAUGGCUUCCUCGCCAACCGGGAUGGUGGAG